CUGAUCUGUGAGUCCACCCUCGUUCUUCUUCCAGUACUGCAUUAGGACAAGGAUGCACUCUCUGCACAGGUUCUAGUUCAGUAAUUUAGAAUCUGCCAAAACUUCCAGGCUCAAUUUUCUCGUGCUGACCCAGUCCCAUAAUACUUGGAUUACAGCAGCGGUGGUUCUGUGGAAGCAGAUGCCUAACUCCCACAACUGCAGGAGAGAGGAACCAUGGAGCAUUGAUUACUAAAUCACUGUUGAUGAUACAUGAUUCCACUACACUAACAACACACAUCAUUACAAAUAUUGCCUAGUGUCUAAUCUCACAAUAAACACACAAACUGCCUUCACCAGGGAACAUU